ACUACGGGUGGCAGCAGUGGGGAAUAUUUCACAAUGGGGGAAACCCUGAUGCAGCGACGCCGCGUGAGUGAAGAAGUCAUUCGUUAUGUAAAGCUCUAUCAGCAGGGAGGAAAAUGACGGUACCUGAGUAAGAAGCCCCGGCUCACUACGUGCCAGCAGCCGCGGUAAUACGUAGGGGGCACGCGUUAUCCGGAUUUACUGGGUGUAAAGGGAGCGUAGACGGCAGUGCAAGUCUGGAGUGAAAGGCGGGGGCUCGCCCCCCGGACUGCUCGGGUAACUGUACGGCUGGAGUGCAGGAGAGGUAAGUGGAAUUCCUGGUGUAGCGGUGAAAUGCGUAGAUAUUAGGAGGAACACCAGUGGCGAAGGCGGCUGACUGGACUGUAACUGACGUUGAGGCUCGAAAGCGUGGGGAGCAAACAGGAUUAGAUACCCGAGUAGUC
rnacentral:rRNA from 1 species